GUAAGCGGGCUGUAAUGAGAGGUGAAAAGAGAAGAAGACUGAAAUUCAAGAUUAUUUGCUGAUGUGGGAUGACAGUCUCAAACAUAUGUCUUCAUUUUCUCCUUGUGCGCUGGACUUCCAUUGUUCUCAUGUCGAUGGAGAGUGUGGAGUGCACCCAGCAUGGGUGGAGACCGACUUUUGUCUUUUUGAAUCACUUGACCAGAUACAAGUUGC